GACGAACGCUGGCGGCGUGCUUAACACAUGCAAGUCGAACGGAAAGGCCCUGCUUUUGUGGGGUGCUCGAGUGGCGAACGGGUGAGUAACACGUGAGUAACCUGCCCUUGACUUUGGGAUAACUUCAGGAAACUGGGGCUAAUACCGGAUAGGAGCUCCUGCUGCAUGGUGGGGGUUGGAAAGUUUCGGCGGUUGGGGAUGGACUCGCGGCUUAUCAGCUUGUUGGUGGGGUAGUGGCUUACCAAGGCUUUGACGGGUAGCCGGCCUGAGAGGGUGACCGGCCACAUUGGGACUGAGAUACGGCCCAGACUCCUACGGGAGGCAGCAGUGGGGAAUAUUGCACAAUGGGCGGAAGCCUGAUGCAGCAACGCCGCGUACGGGAUGACGGCCUUCGGGUUGUAAACCGCUUUCGCCUGUGACGAAGCGUGAGUGACGGUAAUGGGUAAAGAAGCACCGGCUAACUACGUG
rnacentral:rRNA from 1 species